UAACAAGGUUUCCGUAGGUGANCCUGCGGAAGGAUCAUUAUUGAAUAAAACUUGGUUGGGUUGUUGCUGGCUCCUCGGAGCAUGUGCACGCCUAGCACCAUUUUUACCACCUGUGCACCCUUUUGUAGACUUGGAUACCUCUCGAGGAAACUCGGUUUGAGAAUUGCUGUGCGGAAAGCCAGCUCUCCUUGCAUUUCCGGUCUAUGUCUUUAUAUACCCCAUAAGAAUGUAACAGAAUGUCAUUAACUGGCCUUUGUGCCUUUAAUCAAAUACAACUUUCAGCAACGGAUCUCUUGGCUCUCGCAUCGAUGAAGAACGCAGCGAAAUGCGAUAAGUAAUGUGAAUUGCAGAAUUCAGUGAAUCAUCGAAUCUUUGAACGCACCUUGCGCUCCCUGGUAUUCCGGGGAGCAUGCCUGUUUGAGUGUCAUUAAAUUCUCAACCUUUCCAGCUUUUUUUAAAAACUAGCUUGGUCAGGCUUGGAUGGUGGGGGCUGCGGGCUUCUCAGAAGUCGGCUCUCCUUAAAUGCAUUAGUGAAACCUUUGUUGACCGUCUCUGGUGUGAUAAUUAUCUACGCUGCUGACAGUCUUCAUUAAUAUGAGGUUCUGCUUCUAAUGGUCCUUCAGGGGACAACUCUUGACAUUUUGACCUCAAAUCAGGCAAGACUACCCGCUG
rnacentral:rRNA from 1 species